rnacentral:rRNA from 1 species
GACGAACGCUGGCGGCGUGCUUAACACAUGCAAGUCGAACGGAAAGGCCCUGCUUGCAGGGUGCUCGAGUGGCGAACGGGUGAGUAACACGUGGGUGAUCUGCCCCUUACUUUGGGAUAAGCCUGGGAAACUGGGUCUAAUACUGGAUAGGACCAUGCUGUGGGUGGUGUGGUGGAAAGAUUAGUUUCGGUAAGGGAUGAGCUCGCGGCCUAUCAGCUUGUUGGUGGGGUAAUGGCCUACCAAGGCGUCGACGGGUAGCCGGCCUGAGAGGGUGGACGGCCACAUUGGGACUGAGAUACGGCCCAGACUCCUGCGGGAGGCAGCAGUGGGGAAUAGUGCACAAUGGGCGCAAGCCUGAUGCAGCGACGCCGCGUGGGGGAUGACGGCCUUCGGGUUGUAAACUCCUUUCAGCCAUGACGAAGCCUUCGGGUGACGGUAGUGGUAGAAGAAGCACCGGCUAACUACGUGC